AUGCCCACAAACAUCAAAACAUACUUCAAGUUCAUCACUCACGUUUCCAGGUUUAUUAAUGUCGGCUUGCUUAUCGAGAAGUGCUUUAAUAACACCAACAUGGCCUUUACGCGCCGCCCACACCAGAGCUGACGUUCCGUACUGAAGAAAAAACCCAAAGUAUAUAAUACCGAGAAGUGAGAACUUCGAACAUACCUUAUCGCACGAGUUAGGGUUGGCACCAGCUUCAAGAAACUCCUCAACGACCGUUUGGUGUCCACGACCGGAAGCCCAUAUGACAGGAUUCAUACCAUGCUGAAAGAGAAUAAUCAUAUAUAAAUGUACGUAGUAACACUCUCUUCUUUAUGUCAAUAUUUAACGCAGGUAUCUCUAUCUUCGACAUUUUUAAGAUAUAGAAAGAGAGAGAACGUCUACGGGUUUAAUUUGUUAAUAAACAAUGAAAAAUCAACUAAGACCAUCCAAGGCAAGACAGACAAAUACGUCAUUCACAGUUUAUCGAUGGAAAUAAUAGAAUCCGACUUGACAAGGGUGAUGUCACGAAAAACUACAAAAAUUACCAGUAUUCCAAAUAAAAUUCCAAAAUUUAUUUUUAAACGCCGAGCACUAUGUAUAAGAUUUAAGUUUUAUACUAAAUGUUUGGAAAACUAACUUGUAUUGAAUAUUACAUACAUACGAAACUUUUAACUGAGCGAAAUUUGAUUGUUAUCUAUGUGGUAGCACCGCCAUAAUUUAUAAAUGUUCGGCAAAUCCUUAUGUGAACAUACGUAUAUAGGAGAAUAACAAUAUCCUUUCGCUAAUACUUUAAUGGAAGCGACAGGAACGUAGUACACAUCAAUGGUAUAUCCAACUAUAAUUCUGUCAAAGUUUUGAUAUCAUUGCUACCAAUAUAGACAUACAUAACAACAUAAA